UUUCGCCUGAGUCACCUGGAGUACAUACCUGAGACAGCAGCUGAGGGCCUCUGGGAACAUUAGAGAAAACCUGAUAACCCAGCAUAAAAAUCCAGCCUGGAGUUUUUAGAGGCUUAUUUUCUGUACACCUAUAAUGAUGUGUGUCGAGGAGUCCCAGGAUUUGGUCAAAAGUGCAGUUCUGGAUGUCUCAUGAAAUUCUGGAUUUCUGACAUCUGAAAAGUUUGAUGAGCUGACAACAUGGCCUACACAUUGUGUGUGUGUGUGUGUGUGUGUGUGUGUGUGUGUGUAAAGGGGGACUAUUUAAC